CGAGCUAUACCUAAGUGGGGUAUUUCAUUUACAUUGAAAUUUUGUCGUGCAAUUCGUCGUAGUUUGA
rnacentral:tRNA from 1 species